rnacentral:lncRNA from 1 species
AAUCUAAACAAUGAGAGGUCACUGUUAUCAUCUUCAUUUUACAGAUGGAGAAACUCAUGGCUGAGAGUUUGAGAAAAAUCUCCCAAGUUUAUAAGUGAACAACUGUUGAAUACUCACAUUCAAACUCCUGGGUCUGACUUCAUAGUGAUGGCUUUGCCCAUAGACUUGUGCUGCCUUUGGAUCUAGAUACAGGUGAAGAAUGCAAUCCAACCACAGAGCUUCUAAGGAACAUUUUCUUGCUGAGAAGCACCAGCCUGAAGAGACACAAAAUUCAUGAUAGCCUUGAGAGACA